GCUCCACCGAAAGAAAAGGUGGCGAACGGGUGAGUCCGUGGGUAACCUGCCCAUCAAAGGGAUAACACUGGAAACAGUGCAUACCGUAUAACAAUCGAAACCGAUGGUUUCGGUUUGAAAGGCGCUUUUGCGUCACUGAUGGAUGGACCCGCGGUGCAUUAGCUAGUUGGUGAGGUAACGGCUCACCAAGGCAACGAUGCAUAGCCGACCUGAGAGGGUGAUCGGCCACAUUGGGACUGAGACACGGCCCAAACUCCUACGGGAGGCAGCAGUAGGGAAUCUUCGGCAAUGGACGCAAGUCUGACCGAGCAACGCCGCGUGAGUGAAGAAGGUUUUCGGAUCGUAAAACUCUGUUGUUAGAGAAGAACAAGGAUGAGAGUAGAAUGUUCAUCCCUUGACGGUAUCUAACCAGA
rnacentral:rRNA from 1 species